rnacentral:rRNA from 1 species
CUUAGCGGCGGACGGGUGAGUAAUGCUUAGGAAUCUGCCUAUUAGUGGGGGACAACAUUUCGAAAGGAAUGCUAAUACCGCAUACGUCCUACGGGAGAAAGCAGGGGAUCUUCGGACCUUGCGCUAAUAGAUGAGCCUAAGUCGGAUUAGCUAGUUGGUGGGGUAAAGGCCUACCAAGGCGACGAUCUGUAGCGGGUCUGAGAGGAUGAUCCGCCACACUGGGACUGAGACACGGCCCAGACUCCUACGGGAGGCAGCAGUGGGGAAUAUUGGACAAUGGGCGCAAGCCUGAUCCAGCCAUGCCGCGUGUGUGAAGAAGGCCUUAUGGUUGUAAAGCACUUUAAGCGAGGAGGAGGCUACUUUAGUUAAUACCUAGAGAUAGUGGACGUUACUCGCAGAAUAAGCACCGGCUAACUCUGUGCCAGCAGCCGCGGUAAUACAGAGGGUGCAAGCGUUAAUCGGAUUUACUGGGCGUAAAGCGCGCGUAGGCGGCUAAUUAAGUCAAAUGUGAAAUCCCCGAGCUUAACUUGGGAAUUGCAUUCGAUACUGGUUAGCUAGAGUGUGGGAGAGGAUGGUAGAAUUCCAGGUGUAGCGGUGAAAUGCGUAGAGAUCUGGAGGAAUACCGAUGGCGAAGGCAGCCAUCUGGUCUAACACUGACGCUGAGGUGCGAAAGCAUGGGGAGCAACAGGAUUAGAUACCCUGGUAGUCCAUGCCGUAAACGAUGUCUACUAGCCGUGGGGCC